AUUGAACGCUGGCGGCAGGCUUAACACAUGCAAGUCGAGCGGGGGCUUCGGCCCUAGCGGCGAACGGGUGAGGAAUGCCUGGGAAUUUGCCUGGUAGUGGGGGAUAACGAUCCGAAAGGAUCGCUAAUACCGCAUACGUCCUACGGGAGAAAGCAGGGGACCUUCGGGCCUUGCGCUAUCAGAUGAGCCCAGGUCGGAUUAGCUAGUAGGUGAGGUAAAGGCUCACCUAGGCGACGAUCCGUAGCUGGUCUGAGAGGAUGAUCAGCCACACUGGAACUGAGACACGGUCCAGACUCCUACGGGAGGCAGCAGUGGGGAAUAUUGGACAAUGGGCGAAAGCCUGAUCCAGCCAUGCCGCGUGUGUGAAGAAGGCCUUCGGGUUGUAAAGCACUUUAAGCGGGGAGGAAGUACUUGGGGCUAAUGCCCCUGAGUGUUGACGUUACCCGCAGAAUAAGCACCGGCUAACUCUGUGCCAGCCGCCGCCGUAAUAC
rnacentral:rRNA from 1 species